GAUGAACGCUGGCGGCGUGCCUAAUACAUGCAAGUCGAGCGAACGGACGAGAAGCUUGCUUCUCUGAUGUUAGCGGCGGACGGGUGAGUAACACGUGGAUAACCUACCUAUAAGACUGGGAUAGCUUCGGGAAACCGGAGCUAAUACCGGAUGAUAUUUUGAACCGCAUGGUUCAAAAGUGAAAGACGGUCUUGCUGUCACUUAUAGAUGGAUCCGCGCUGCAUUAGCUAGUUGGUAAGGUAACGGCUUACCAAGGCAACGAUGCAUAGCCGACCUGAGAGGGUGAUCGGCCACACUGGAACUGAGACACGGUCCAGACUCCUACGGGAGGCAGCAGUAGGGAAUCUUCCGCAAUGGGCGAAAGCCUGACGGAGCGACGCCGCGUGAGUGAUGAAGGUCUUCGGAUCGUAAAACUCUGUUAUUAGGGAAGAACAUAUGUGUAAGUAACUGUGCACAUCUUGACGGUACCUAAUCAGAAAGCCACGGCUAACUACGUG
rnacentral:rRNA from 1 species